UCCUUGGUCAAGUACAAAGCUCUCUUCUCUGGGUUUAAAGUAAUUCAAGAAACCUAUAUUGCCUUCACUGUUCUUUGCCAUUUGCAGGAAACAGAACUUGUCUGUAAUCUGAAUAAAACUUUCAAAUUCAAGAAGAACGUAUUCUGAUUUUCGUAAAAUGUCGAGGAACAAUAGCAUUCAGAAAUAUUUCAAUGGAGCAACAAACAAUCUCACGGCCUACACCAAAACCGCCAAGUUCAGUGAUAUGCAAGUAUAUAGAAUCGGUGCCUUGACAGAGAAGUCAAGCUCUACGAAAGCUAUGGAGAUCACAGCUGUGUCGAUUGACAAAGAUCUUGUGAAUACAGUUCUGGCUAUUUCAUACGCCAAACAGCCUCAU